rnacentral:rRNA from 1 species
CCUACGUGUGGCAGCAGUGAGGAAUAUUGGUCAAUGGGCGCGAGCCUGAACCAGCCAAGUAGCGUGAAGGCUGACUGCCCUACGGGUUGUAAACUUCUUUUAUAAAGGAAUAAAGUGAGGCACGUGUGCCUUUUUGUAUGUACUUUAUGAAUAAGGCUCGGCUAACUCCGUGCCAGCAGCCGCGGUAAUACGGAGGAUCCGAGCGUUAUCCGGAUUUAUUGGGUUUAAGGGGGUCGUAGAUGGGUUGUUAAGUCAGUUGUGAAAGUUUGCGGAUCAACCGUAAAAUUGCAAUUGAUACUGGCAGUCUUGAGUACAGUUGAGGUAGGCGGAAUGCGUGGUGUAGCGGUGAAAUGCUUAGAUAUCACGAAGAACUCCGAUUGCGAAGGCAGCUUACUAAACUGCCACUGACAUUGAUGCUCGAAAGUGUGGGGAUCAAACAGGAUUAGAUACCCCUGUAGUC